rfam:Perkinsus marinus ATCC 50983 gcontig_1104296628472, whole genome shotgun sequence.
UAGCUCAGUCGGCGGAGCGCGUGCCUUUUAAGCCCGUGGCCGCGGGUUCGAGCUCCGC